rnacentral:lncRNA from 1 species
AUCUGCUGAGUCUCAGUAUUCAAUGGGAAACAGAACAAUGAAUAGGAAAGAAGAAAAAAGCUAUUAAAAAGGUAUUAGGAUUCUUGUAUAUGUUUAUUUUCUGCCAAAAUGUUUUCUAGCAAUGAUUCACAAGCAUCUUCAAGCAUAUCUAACACCUGCGAGUGCCACAUGAUGAUGAUAAUAAGCAGAUAAUCAACCAGGAGUUCAGAAGUAUUUGCAGCAAAGAAUAGAUUGUGUGUUCAAAUGAUAAUACAUGGAUUUCUUGUAACAUCACAAUUUGAGACUGGAUCUUCUGAAAAGAGUUCAAAGAGGCGUGGAUAACAAUGUUGUGUCUUCUAGUUCUCUAUAUGUAGUUUUUAAAAGGAUUGUUUUUGCCAUUCAAAAUGGAGCUAGCGGCGCAACUUGUUGCCCGUUUGUCCUUCAUUCAAGUGUAAUUAUCUUGAAUAACUUGCGAAAAAUCAAUUAUUAUUUGUAUGAGAUUGAUACAUAUACUAUCUCCAAAUUCCAAAGUGUAGUUUUUUAAUUCUGAGAUAUCAUAGUUGUAGUCACCAAGCAAAAAUGGUACAAUUAAAAAUUGUUUUUAGAAGCAGA